rnacentral:rRNA from 1 species
GACGAACGCUGGCGGCGCGCUUAACACAUGCAAGUCGAACGGAAAGGCCUGCUUUCCCUUGUGGAUUGCGGGUACUCGAGUGGCGAACGGGUGAGUAACACGUGAGUGAUCUGCCCCCAACUUGGGUAUAAGCCUGGGAAACUGGGUCUAAUUCCCGAUAGGACUGCAGGGUGGUGCCUGUGGUGGAAAACGAUUUUCUAGUGGUUGGGGAUGAGCUCGCGGCCUAUCAGCUUGUUGGUGGGGUAAUGGCCUACCAAGGCGGCGACGGGUAGCCGGCCUGAGAGGGUGGACGGCCACAUUGGGACUGAGAUACGGCCCAGACUCCUACGGGAGGCAGCAGUUGGGAAUAAUGCACAAUGGGCGGAAGCCUGAUGCAGCGACGCCGCGUGGGGGAUGACGGCCUUCGGGUUGUAGACUCCUUUCGACCGCGAGGAAGCCACCUGGUUGGAAGGGUGGUGACGGUAGUGGUAGAAGAAGCACCGGCUAACUACGU